UACGUAGGGGGCAAGCGUUGUCCGGAAUCAUUGGGCGUAAAGAGCGUGUAGGCGGUCCGGUAAGUCGGUUGUGAAAGUCCAGGGCUCAACCCUGGGAUGCCGAUCGAUACUGUCGGACUAGAGUUCGGAAGAGGCGAGUGGAAUUCCCGGUGUAGCGGUGAAAUGCGCAGAUAUCGGGAGGAACACCAAUGGCGAAGGCAGCUCGCUGGGACGUGACUGACGCUGAGACGCGAAAGCGUGGGGAGCAAACAGG
rnacentral:rRNA from 1 species